rnacentral:tRNA from 1 species
CCCAAAAAUAAGGGCUAACCCCCUUCACUCCUACCAC